ACCUUCACCCUGCAGAUUGCCGGGUACAACACGGCCAUGACGCAAACAUCCGACGGUUCAACAGGAAAUGUGACCGGACAGGUAUCUAUAGACUGCCUGAACAGCAGACAUUGCUUACAUCUGUGAUAUGAAAACAGACAACAUGAGGCCACAGGUGACGUCAAGAGACAAGAACCGUUAUCAGCAGCCGUUAUGUCAUCUCAAGGGAAGUAGAACACCAUACUUCACAUGCCACACUCGAUCUUGACCUCGAUCGGGAAGGCACACAGACGAUGAGACGAGUGAAGCAAUAACGGUGACUCAGGCCCCGCCACACACGUGCGGAUCACUCACACCCGCUUUCCAUACACCGCGCGCGGCCAGAGUGAACGAGUGCACGCUUACUCCAGGGGAUUCCCCUUCCUUCAUUCCGCAGUCACUUCAGGCCCUCGCCUGGCGGUUGUACCCAGUUACCUGCGCCGAGCUGUCGCAACUCUCAGGUGAGGAUCAUCGGCAUCGUUUACACGAGAUAAGUCGCUUUGUGACACGUGACAACUCCUCACUUUCCUUCUUCAUUCGGUUUUGUUUGUUUAUAUAUUGUUUGUUUUGUAUGGGUGGAUGAGAGGAGAAACCGAACAGUCUACAUUCCAUCUCUCCCCUACUCAAAAGGUAUCUAGGUAUCAACAUUUUGCAAUAAUUAAAAAACAUACAGAGGGUUUGGACUUUUUUGAUUGCAUAAGAAUAUAGAGUGUUUUGCAUGUUAAAUUAUAAAAUUUAACUCUAAGCAGGGCUGGUUUCACAUACACAAAAUGACAAAAUGAAAUGUAUUGAAACUGAACACGUGACCUCAAGUAACUUUCAUCACUGGAUGUACAAACUCCCUUUUCUUUCCAACAGCCAGUGAGAAAAACAGAUUCUAAUGCCUGCGUGACGACUGAACAAGGCAAGGAACAUUUUCCCCCAGCCGCUCAUUUCUUACUGAGCCAGCAGUGUGCUUGCAGCAACUAUAAGGAUGUGGAGGGAUUAUUUCAGGGACUUCUUGUGACUAUCACUGCUUAUGUGAUCUCAUCAUAAUGAAAGACACAGUACAGACAGAAAUGUCAUCCAUCUGCACGGACACACAGUAAACACACCGCACAAUGAAGCACUUGUUUUCGAGAGAUCUGCAUGCUGAAGGAGAAGCAAGCAGGCGGACACACUAAACUCCUCUCACCCAGUGACAAGAUGGCGGAGGGAGUGUCCCUGCCGAUGUGUGUGUGAAUUCCAGGGGAGAGCUUUGGUUUGCUUUGAUUUGAUGAGUUCUUCACAUCCUCCUCUGUACCUCCAUCUGUUGUUACUAGAUUGCCAAGUGACUCUGCUUCGGAGGAUGAUAUGUUUUUCCCGCUAUAGACGAUGACAUCAUCGGCAGAUCUGCGCAUGCGCUGCAGGUAAAACCUCGAUGAGUUUCUAUCAAAAGAAAAUGAAGGUACCUGCCCUGCCACUCGUGAGUCACUGCCUCGUUCUACGACAGUCAUCCUGGCGCGCGGCAAGAUCAAAGGGAAUAGAAGAGUUGUGUUCUCUUUGAUUUCUAAUGCUGAAGGCUUUUGAGGAGCAGACAUUUUUUUUUUUUUUUUGCCGCGGAGCGACAACGGAUCCAUGGCACACGCUUGCUGGACGAAGGUAACGACCAUAGUACGAUAGAUAACUCUCAACUCCACUGAUUUUCAGACAGGAAGACCCAGUGGACUCAUCAUCAUCAUCAUCAUCAUCAUCAUCAGCCGACUGGGACGAGCCUGGCAGUGUCUUAGCGAGUUGUACACACCACCAAUGUUGGGGUACCCUGUUCACUACUCAUACUUCGCGCAGUUUAGUCUCGGGUGGGUUCUGCGACUUUCAUGGUAGUUCGUAGUGAAGCAUUGCCACAGCCAGUCUAAUGAAUGAACAUCAGUGACUACUCCCGCCACCUUUCUACUCUCGCACAAUCCUCAACAUGCACAGUGAGUGGAGCAAGGAAGUGGCUUAUCUGCCAAAACCAGGAGCUGGUCCCCGAAAUAACUUCAACCGCGGUUCCAGUCGACUGAUUUCUCGGUGCUGGAGAGGGAGAUAGCAGCUUCAGUGCCAAGGGUUAGGUUUCGACCCUGAGCCACAUUACUUAUGAAACAGAAGUAGUGUAGCUGACUGCUCGAUGUUAACAAUAGAAGUAUUGUAGCUGACUGCUAGGUGUUAGCCAUGUAACAGAAGUAUUGUAGCUGACUGCUAGGUGUUAGCCAUGCAGCUAGCGCCUGACAGCGACUCGUGGCUGCCAGCCUCGGUGGGAAUUCCCGAGGUCAAGCGACAGCAACAGCAUCACAAGAAAUCCUCUCCCGCCGAUAUUGAUCUGUUGUGACGAGCUGCACACCCCCAUGUGACCGCUAGAGGGAGCUGGCCGGUGUGCGGCGGAAGUUACGCUAGCGAAAGCCAGACAUCUUGACAACCUUUGACCUCCAGCCCCUGUUUCUGACCACGUGACAGUAGGAUGAAGAUGACAGGCGCUCUAUGUCAACCUCUUAUUAUAAUUUAUAAUUAGCUUCUUGGAAAUUGUUUAUAUUUAUCUUCUUGGAAAUUAUUUAAUUAUUUAUGCUAAUAAAUAUUGUCGUAAAGAAAACGCCACAAGUGUGUGUGUGUGAGCUAGAAAAAAUAAAACGAGUCAGUGAGAAGACUAUACAAUGUGUGUGCACGCGCGCGUGUGUGUGUGCACGCGCUGUACACGUGUAUGAAUGUCGCCGUGUUUCUGUUUGCUUGCAAAUCAGCUUACUGCCCUGUCUACACUUGUGUUUCGCUAGAAGAUUGAUAAGCUAACUUAAAAAGUUGUGGCUGAAGCUGUUUCC
rnacentral:lncRNA from 1 species